GACGAACGCUGGCGGCGUGCCUAAUACAUGCAAGUCGAGCGAAGUUUUUCUGGUGCUUGCACUAGAAAAACUUAGCGGCGAACGGGUGAGUAACACGUAAAGAACCUGCCUCAUAGACUGGGACAACUAUUGGAAACGAUAGCUAAUACCGGAUAACAGCAUUAACUGCAUGGUUGAUGUUUAAAAGUUGGUUUUGCUAACACUAUGAGAUGGCUUUGCGGUGCAUUAGCUAGUUGGUGGGGUAAAGGCCUACCAAGGCGACGAUGCAUAGCCGACCUGAGAGGGUGAUCGGCCACACUGGGACUGAGACACGGCCCAGACUCCUACGGGAGGCAGCAGUAGGGAAUCUUCCGCAAUGGGCGAAAGCCUGACGGAGCAACGCCGCGUGAGUGAAGAAGGAUUUCGGUUCGUAAAGCUCUGUUGUUAGGGAAGAAUGAUUGUGUAGUAACGAGACACAGUAGAGACGGUACCUAACCAGAAAGCCACGGCUAACUACGUG
rnacentral:rRNA from 1 species